CACUCCGGUGGCCUAGUGGUUAGAAUGUCCGCCUAGGAUGCGGGAAGUGGUGGGUUCAAUCCCCGGUCGAGUCA